AGUGAACGCUGGCGGCAGGCCUAACACAUGCAAGUCGAACGGCAGCACAAGAGAGCUUGCUCUCUGGGUGGCGAGUGGCGGACGGGUGAGGAAUGCAUCGGAAUCUGCCCAUUUGUGGGGGAUAACCUCGGGAAACCGGGACUAAUACCGCAUACGACCUACGGGUGAAAGCAGGGGAUCUUCGGACCUUGCGCAGAUGGAUGAGCCGAUGCCGGAUUAGCUAGUUGGAGGGGUAAAGGCCCACCAAGGCGACGAUCCGUAGCUGGUCUGAGAGGAUGAUCAGCCACACUGGGACUGAGACACGGCCCAGACUCCUACGGGAGGCAGCAGUGGGGAAUAUUGGACAAUGGGCGCAAGCCUGAUCCAGCCAUGCCGCGUGUGUGAAGAAGGCCUUCGGGUUGUAAAGCACUUUUGUUGGGAAAGAAAAGCAGCCGGUUAAUACCCGGUUGUCAUGACGGUACCCAAAGAAUAAGCACCGGCGAACUUCGU
rnacentral:rRNA from 1 species